rnacentral:snRNA from 2 species
GUCCCUUCGGGGACAUCCGAUAAAAUUGGAACGAUACAGAGAAAAUUAGCAUGGCCCCUGCGCAAGAAUGAUACCCACAAAUCGAGAAAUGCUCCAAAUAUAU